rnacentral:rRNA from 1 species
AUUGAACGCUGGCGGCAGGCUUAACACAUGCAAGUCGAGCGGGGGAAGGUAGCUUGCUACCGGACCUAGCGGCGGACGGGUGAGUAAUGCUUAGGAAUCUGCCUAUUAGUGGGGGACAACAUCUCGAAAGGGAUGCUAAUACCGCAUACGUCCUACGGGAGAAAGCAGGGGAUCUUCGGACCUUGCGCUAAUAGAUGAGCCUAAGUCGGAUUAGCUAGUUGGUGGGGUAAAGGCCUACCAAGGCGACGAUCUGUAGCGGGUCUGAGAGGAUGAUCCGCCACACUGGGACUGAGACACGGCCCAGACUCCUACGGGAGGCAGCAGUGGGGAAUAUUGGACAAUGGGGGGAACCCUGAUCCAGCCAUGCCGCGUGUGUGAAGAAGGCCUUAUGGUUGUAAAGCACUUUAAGCGAGGAGGAGGCUACUUUAGUUAAUACCUAGAGAUAGUGGACGUUACUCGCAGAAUAAGCACCGGCUAACUCUGUGCCAGCAGCCGCGGUAAUACAGAGGGUGCGAGCGUUAAUCGGAUUUACUGGGCGUAAAGCGUGCGUAGGCGGCUUAUUAAGUCGGAUGUGAAAUCCCCGAGCUUAACUUGGGAAUUGCAUUCGAUACUGGUGAGCUAGAGUAUGGGAGAGGAUGGUAGAAUUCCAGGUGUAGCGGUGA